GAUGAACGCUGGCGGCGUGCCUAAUACAUGCAAGUCGAGCGAACAGACGAGGAGCUUGCUCCUCUGACGUUAGCGGCGGACGGGUGAGUAACACGUGGAUAACCUACCUAUAAGACUGGGAUAACUUCGGGAAACCGGAGCUAAUACCGGAUAAUAUAUUGAACCGCAUGGUUCAAUAGUGAAAGACGGUUUUGCUGUCACUUAUAGAUGGAUCCGCGCCGCAUUAGCUAGUUGGUAAGGUAACGGCUUACCGAGGCAACGAUGCGUAGCCGACCUGAGAGGGUGAUCGGCCACACUGGAACUGAGACACGGUCCAGACUCCUACGGGAGGCAGCAGUAGGGAAUCUUCCGCAAUGGGCGAAAGCCUGACGGAGCAACGCCGCGUGAGUGAUGAAGGUCUUCGGAUCGUAAAACUCUGUUAUUAGGGAAGAACAAAUGUGUAAGUAACUAUGCACGUCUUGACGGUACCUAAUCAGAAAGCCACGGCUAACUACG
rnacentral:rRNA from 1 species